rnacentral:rRNA from 14 species
CGAAAGGCGUAGUCGAUGGACAGCAGGUUAAUAUUCCUGCACCGCGUUGUAGGUUGAAGCACCGUGACGGAUUCUGAAGGUCAUGCGCCCCACUAGAUGGGCGUUGCCGCAAGGCUAAGGGCUAGAUCCCGAUGAUGGCUGAACGAGUCCCAAGAAAAGCCGGUGUGGACGAAAACGUGGCCGUACUAAAACUGACACAGGUAGACGUGGCGAAUAGCCUCAGGCGCUCGAGAGAAUGGUUGUGAAGGAACUAGGCAAAUUGACCCCGUAAGUUCGCGAUAAGGGGGCCCUACUGGCAACAGAGGGCGCAGAGAAUAGGCUCUAGCGACUGUUUAUCAAAAACACAGCACUGUGCUAACUCGCAAGAGGACGUAUACAGUGUGACGCCUGCUCGGUGCCGGAAUGUCAAGGAAGCAGGUUAGCUUCGGCGAAGCUUGCGACCGAAGCACCGGUAAACAGCGGCCGUAACUAUGACGGUCCUAAGGUAGCGAAGUUCCUUGUCGGGUAAGUUCCGACGCGCAUGAAUA